rnacentral:rRNA from 1 species
GACGAACGCUGGCGGCGCGCUUAACACAUGCAAGUCGAACGGAAAGGCCUGCUUUCCCUUGUGGAUUGCGGGUACUCGAGUGGCGAACGGGUGAGUAACACGUGAGUGAUCUGCCCCCAACUUGGGUAUAAGCCUGGGAAACUGGGUCUAAUUCCCGAUAGGACUGCAGGGUGGUGCCUGUGGUGGAAAACGAUUUUCUAGUGGUUGGGGAUGAGCUCGCGGCCUGUGAGCUUGUUGGUGGGGUUAUGGCCUACCACGGCGGGGACGGGUAGCCGGCCUGGGAGGGGGGACGGCCACAUUGGGACUGAGAUACGGCCCAGACUCCUACGGGAGGCAGCAGUGGGGAAUAUUGGACAAUGGGCGGAAGCCUGAUGCAGCGACGCCGCGUGGGGGAUGACGGCCUUCGGGUGGUAAACUCCUUUCGACCGCGAGGAAGCCACCUGGUUGGAAGGGUGGUGACGGUAGUGGUAGAAGAAGCACCGGCUAACUACGUG